rnacentral:rRNA from 1 species
GACGCAAGCUGGCGGAGUGCCUAAUACAUGCAAGUAGAACGCAGUUGAGAAUGGGUGCGUAACGCUUAGGUAACUGCCUCAUAGAGGGGGAUAAAUAUUGGAAACGAUAGCUAAUACCGCAUACUGUGAGAUGGACCUGCGUUUUAUUAGCUAGUUGGUGCGGUAAAGGCUCACCAAGGCGACGAUACAUGACCGACCUGAGAGUGUGAUCGGGCACACUGUGACUGAGACGCGGCCCAGACUCCUACGGGAGGCUGCAGUAGGGAAUCUGCGGCAAUGGCCGGAAGUCUGAACAAGCAACGGCGCGUGAGUGAAGAAGGUUUUCGGAUCGUAAAGCUCUGUUGUUAGAGAAGCGGUAACUAACCAGGAAGGUACGGCUAACUACUUGCUAGCAGCCGCGGUAAUUC